GCUGACGUAGCUCAGUUGGUAGAGCAGUUCACUCGUAAUGAACAGGUCACCGGUUCAAGUCCGGUCGUCAGCUCAA
rnacentral:tRNA from 3 species